rnacentral:rRNA from 1 species
UACAGAGGGUGCGAGCGUUAAUCGGAAUUACUGGGCGUAAAGCGCACGCAGGCGGUUUGUUAAGCUAGAUGUGAAAGCCCCGGGCUCAACCUGGGAUGGUCAUUUAGAACUGGCAGACUAGAGUCUUGGAGAGGGGAGUGGAAUUCCAGGUGUAGCGGUGAAAUGCGUAGAUAUCUGGAGGAACAUCAGUGGCGAAGGCGACUCCCUGGCCAAAGACUGACGCUCAUGUGCGAAAGUGUGGGUAGCGAACAGG